ACAAAGCAACUGGACAUUGCAAAAACAGAUGGUUCACAUACUCAGCUCCCUAUUUGCACAUAUCUGAGAGGAAAGACGUGCAACUACUCCCAAUUCUAAUCCAAAAGGUGCGAAAUUAAAAUCCUUUCAACUUGCGAGGGUAUGGAUACAAUUAUACAAAUGCUUAAAAUCUACUGUGCAUCUAAAGCUAAAAGAAAUAUAACUGUUACUACAUUAUACUUUAUUCAAGUGCUAUUGUGUUACCUGUCCCUCAAGUCAGCUAUUCUGUAACAAAAGAUAGAAUACUUGCCGCAACUUCAUCAUACAAGUGGCAUGCAGGCUCAUGAGUAACCAAGUCUUGAAAUGAAGCCUUCUAGAUUUCCCUGCGAGACAAUUUGACAAUCCAAACUCAAGUUCUCCACGUUCACAGACACUUAAUCUGAAAAUCAAAAUUCAUUUAGAUCAAUAAAUGGCAUGGUGAGUAGUUAUAUGUCUCUAAUUGUGUAAUCCAACAACUCCGAUCCUGUUAGAAUCCAAAGCCAACACCACGUCAGAACUUAAUAUAACGAGCUUUUUCUCUCUGCUCUUGCUCAGUAAACAUCAGCUUUUAGAUCAAGACUUGAACUUCAGAAGGUGUCACGCAUAUGUAAAUAUAUGUGAACAUGUCAUUUAGUACUACAGAUAUUAUCAUUUUCUCUUGCGAUGAUGAUAUGUACGUUGUUGAGUGAAUUAGAUUUUGAGGAGUAAUAGGUGCUUUUGGGUUCAAGUUGUGUCCUAAUCAUAUUAGUGUAAUUUUCUUGAUUAAUUGAUAGCUUGAUUUGAAUAUAAUGGGUAAUUUAAUUGAGUUUUUUUUUAGGGUUUAACCUGGAAACGAUGACUUCUGGGUGAACUACUAUGGUACAUGAACGAUGACAGAAAAAGGAAUAUAUCAACAAAGCUAAUCAAUUAUGAUUGAUAUUUUAUUGUUUUUGGCUUAAAUGUAUCGACUUCUUUUUCAUCAACUCAUCUACAUUAUAUACUCAAAAGUACAGUGUUCUGAUUCU